rfam:Moniliophthora roreri MCA 2997 sctg_0209_0002, whole genome shotgun sequence.
GGGCGUUUAGCGCAGUGGUAGCGCGUAUGCUUUGCAAAUGUGAGCCAACGACUUGCAUUGAGUGUGUAUAAGGUCCAGGGUUCAAUCCCCUGAACGUCCA